UACGGAGGGGACUAGCGUUGUUCGGAAUUACUGGGCGUAAAGCGCACGUAGGCGGAUUUGUAAGUCAGGGGUGAAAUCCCGGGGCUCAACCUCGGAACUGCCUUUGAUACUGCAAAUCUCGAGUCCGGAGGAGGUGAGUGGAAUUCCGUAGUGUAGAGGUGAAAUUCGUAGAUAUUAGGAAGAACACCAGUGGCGAAGGCGGCUCACUGGUCCGGUACUGACGCUGAGGUGCGAAAGCGUGGGGAGCAAACAGG
rnacentral:rRNA from 1 species